UACAGAGGUCCCAAGCGUUGUUCGGAUUCACUGGGCGUAAAGGGCGCGUAGGCGGCCAUUCAAGUCGGGGGUGAAAGCCUGUGGCUCAACCACAGAAUUGCCUUCGAUACUGUUUGGCUUGAGUUUGGUAGAGGUUGGUGGAACUGCGAGUGUAGAGGUGAAACUCGUAGAUAUUCGCAAGAACACCAGUGGCGAAGGCGGCCAACUGGACCAACACUGACGCUGAGGCGCGAAAGCGUGGGGAGCAAACAGG
rnacentral:rRNA from 1 species